rnacentral:rRNA from 1 species
CCUACGGGUGGCAGCAGUGGGGAAUAUUGCACAAUGGGGAAACCCUGAUGCAGCGACGCCGCGUGAGCGAUGAAGUAUUUCGGUAUGUAAAGCUCUAUCAGCAGGGAAGAACGGUCACUGUGCUAAUCAGCAGUGAAUUGACGGUACCUGCACAGGCAGCACCGGCUAACUCCGUGCCAGCAGCGGCGGUAAUACGGAGGGUGCGAGCGUUAAUCGGAAUUACUGGGCGUAAAGGGUUCGUAGGCGGCAUGUCAAGUCAAGGGUGAAAGCCCCGGGCUCAACGUGGGAACGGCAUUUGAAACUGGCAAACUGGAGUGCGUGAGAGGUAAGUGGAAUUCCAGGUGUAGGAGUGAAAUCCGUAGAUAUCUGGAGGAACAUCAGUGGCGAAGGCGACUAUCUGGCACAUAACUGACGCUGAGGAGCGAAAGCGUGGGUAGCAAACAGGAUUAGAUACCCUAGUAGUC